rnacentral:rRNA from 1 species
UACGUAGGGUGCAAGCGUUGUCCGGAAUUAUUGGGCGUAAAGAGCUCGUAGGCGGUCUGUUGCGUCGGCAGUGAAAACCCGGGGCUCAACCCCGGGCCUGCAGCCGAUACGGGCAGACUAGAGUUCGGCAGGGGAGACUGGAAUUCCUGGUGUAGCGGUGAAAUGCGCAGAUAUCGGGAGGAACACCGGUGGCGGAGGCGGUUCUCUGGGCCUUACCUGACGCUGAGGAGCGAAAGCGUGGGGAGCGAACAGG